rnacentral:hammerhead_ribozyme from 1 species
GCACUGCUGAGGAGUCCCAUAAUAUGACGAAACGGCAGUCCAGUAC